AGCGAACGCUGGCGGCAGGCUUAACACAUGCAAGUCGAGCGGGCACUUCGGUGUCAGCGGCAGAAGGGUGAGUAACACGUGGGAACGUACCCUUUGGUUCGGAAUAACGCUGGGAAACUAGCGCUAAUACCGGAUACGCCCUUUUGGGGAAAGGCUGGCUGCCGAAGGAUCGGCCCGCGUCUGAUUAGCUAGUUGGUGGGGUAAUGGCCUACCAAGGCGACGAUCAGUAGCUGGUCUGAGAGGAUGAUCAGCCACACUGGGACUGAGACACGGCCCAGACUCCUACGGGAGGCAGCAGGGGGGAAUAGUGGACAAGGGGCGCAAGCCUGAUCCAGCCAUGCCGCGUGAGUGAUGAAGGCCUUAGGGUUGUAAAGCUCUUUUGUCCGGGACGAUUAUGACGGUACCGGAAGAAUAAGCCCCGGCUAACUUCGUG
rnacentral:rRNA from 1 species